UUAAUUGAAGCCAAAAAGAGGCGUAUUACUGUUAAUGAUAUCACUAGGAAAUAUCCUCAAUUAAG
rnacentral:tRNA from 1 species